rnacentral:rRNA from 1 species
UGGAGGCAGCAGUGAGGAAUUUUGCGCAAUGGCCGCAAGGCUGACGCAACAACGCCGCGUGGGUGAAGAAGGCCUUCGGGUCGUAAAGCCCUGUCAGGUGGGAAGAAGUGUGCGGGAUUGAAUAGGUUUCGCAUUUGACGGUACCACCAGAGGAAGCACCGGCUAACUCCGUGCCAGCAGCCGCGGUAAUACGGAGGGUGCAUGCGUUAUUCGGAAUUACUGGGCGUAAAGCGCGUGUAGGCGGGAAGGUAAGUCUGAUGUGAAAGCCCCGGGCUUAACCCGGGAAGUGCAUUGGAAACUGCUUUUCUUGAGUACUGGAGAGGAAGGGAGAAUUCCCGGUGUAGAGGUGAAAUUCGUAGAGAUCGGGAGGAACAUCAGUGGCGAAGGCGCCCUUCUGGACAGUUACUGACGCUGAGACGCGAAAGCGUGGGGAGCAAACAGGCUUAGAUACCCUGGUAGA